GGAUGAUCGAGCACCGCAGCGUUAAUUGCUGGACGUGACUGCACCUUCCUGGUUACAGUUGACUGGGUAGUGGCGAGCACGUGACUUGAGCUGAGCCAAUCACGUUCUCCUCCCAGGAACGCGUCUAAUUCGUAAGUCACACUGCAGGGAAGCUGGAAACUGUGGGGCAGCCAUCUGACGCCGUGUGUCAAAAGGAUAAAACCGAACCAGAGAGGGAGAUUGAAAAACGAAGCUCAGUCCCAGAGAAGUGCAAAGAUGAAUGACCCUCGGGCUCCAGAGAGAGCAAGACGCACAGACAGGGUGCCUGCUGUGGCUCUUGGUGGCUUCCCGGUCUACGACCUCUGUAGCUCUGCAAAACACGUCUCUAUUUUUGUUUAAGCCAGGUUGAUCUCCGAUACUUGCAAAUGAAAGAAUCUUAAUUGAAAUACUCAGGAUGGUUAAGAGUCAAGCUACGGAGCCUAGAGCGCACGGGGAAUUUUCAUCUAACUAGUUUUGUUUGGGUGUUACCAAUAGAGACAUGAGUCAGAACUUCUCAUUGCAAUGUCUGGGACAGUCCAGCGCUCGUACCCGCCCACGCUCCUCGAUCUGAAGACCUUCUCACUGAUCUACCAGAAGAGAGAAAUUCACCUUUUCCUUGACUGAAUUUGGCAUCCAGCACCCUGGCAGUCCGGGUGCUUCCAGUGAGAAGGCAAUGGGGCCACUGAGUCACCUGUUCCCCAGAGUGUGCCAGGCCUUUUCACGCUGGAGACAGGCACAGCCCGGGUCCACAAGGAGAAGGCGCCUCUGGGAUGGAGGAGCGUGCGCGCAACACCCAGCAGGAGAACCACAGGCCCUAGACAGGCUGCUCCUUCAGCCCAGCUGCCAGCAUGAAGAAGACAUGCAGAGCAGAGACAUGACCACUGGCCUGCGAAUAAGAGCACCACUCCAUAGCAGCGGCAACUGGCUCCAGAC
rnacentral:lncRNA from 1 species